GGAAGGGAGAGACCUCCCCCGAGGCCAGGCGUAUCUUACGCAUUUGCCUAUGGGGCAAGGGCCCUUCAGUAGUCUCGCUAGGUAUUUACCUCCUUUAUUAGCGUGUACAUAAUAAAAGCCUUUCGUGCAUUGUACGGAUCGGAGAUGUCUUUUCAUAAUAAAGUCUUUAAGUUUUCUUCUGUGUUCCAUUAGUUCUCUGUAGACUGCGUUUAGCUGGGAACGUUUAUGUUGACGCUCUAGGGUCGAGAUUGAGC